CGGUAGGUAGGACCGAGUAGCUAGCCCUUACUCAGACCUCAAAGGGGCUAUACGGAGGGGUCAGUAACCUUCAACGGGAUCGGGGGCACGCGGCGUAAGACGCAACGCUCUCUGUCGAUGUCCUGCCCCUCGGGGCCGGCGGUUGUACCGUGGGCGCUCGUAGGAGCGCGACUGGGCAUUAAAUGGGUGAACCGGCUAGGCCCGGGAGGGAGCAACCUAAGCUCUAACGUUUGGCGCUCGUGGGAUACGGGGCGGAGGAGGGCAAUGCGACCCUGCGCCGUGUAAACCUGUGAACAGCGAGGGAACUGCCG
rnacentral:SRP_RNA from 1 species